CUACGGGCCGCACCAGUGAGGGAUUUUGCGCAAUGGGGGGAACCCUGACGCAGCAACGCCGCGUGAGUGAAGAAGGCCUUUGGGUCGUAAAGCUCUGUCAACUGGGAAGAAGUUACAAUUAUUAAACAGAUGGUUGUAUUGACGGUACCAGUGGAGGAAGCGCCGGCUAACUCCGUGCCAGCAGCCGCGGUAACACGGGGGGCGCAAGCGUUAUUCGGAAUUAUUGGGCGUAAAGGGCGCGUAGGCGGUUUUAUCGGUCAGAUGUGAAAGCCCGGGGCUCAACCCCGGAAGAGCAUUUGAAACAGUAAGGCUUGGGUAUGGGAGAGGAAAGCGGAAUUCCUGGUGUAGAGGUGAAAUUCGUAGAUAUCAGGAGGAACACCGAUGGCGAAGGCGGCUUUCUGGACCAAUACUGACGCUGAGGCGCGAAGGCGUGGGUAGCGAACGGGAUUAGAUACCCUCGUAGUC
rnacentral:rRNA from 1 species